rnacentral:rRNA from 1 species
UCCUCAUUCCAGUGAAAAAUGCCCUAUAACAGUAAAAAUGGAGCAGGUAUCAGGCACAACUAAUAGCCCAAGACACCAAGCUUUGCCACACCCACACGGGCCAUCAGCAGUGAUAAACAUUAAGCAAUAAGCGAACACACCUAACCUACUUUUUAAAGCUUGACUUAGUUAUGAUUUAAUAGGGCCGGUAAACCUCGUGCCAGCCACCGCGGUUAUACGAAGGGCCCAAAGCAGCAGACACUCGGCGUAAAUAGUGGUUAGAAUCGUGCCAAACACUAAAAAUUAAACCAUAUCCUAGCCGUAAAACAAAGGAUAAAUGAAACCAAACAUUUUUAAAAACAGGCAAUUUGACCCACGAAAACUAAGAAACAAACUAGGAUUAGAUACCCUACUAUGCUUAGUCGUUAAUAAGAUAUUACUCUACUAAAAUAUCCGCCAGAAAACUACGAGCGAAAAGCUUAAAACUCAAAGGACUUGGCGGUGCUCCAUACCGACUUAGAGGAGCCUGUCCUGUAAUCGAUACUCCACGAUAAACCUUACCAGUCUUUGCCCAAUCAGCCUAUAUACCGCCGUCACCAACCUACCUCAUGAGAGAAAAAUAGUAGGUGUAAAAGCCCAACAGCUAGAACGUCAGGUCAAGGUGUAGCUAAUAGACUGGAAGAGAUGGGCUACAUUUUUUAAUAUAAAAUACAACGGCACGGUACAAUGAAAUUUCUACCCAAAGGAGGAUUUAAUAGUAAAAUUAACAAGAAAGUUAAUUUUAAACACG